CCCAGACCCUCUUUCCACUUUCUAGAAGCCAAAGGCCACAGUGGAGCCAUCAUGUUGGGCCCUGAAGAUCUGCUCCCUUCUCUCCUCCUCUCUAGUCCCUCUGCUUCUUUGUGGACAUUCUGAACCCUGCAGAAAAACCACUUUCACAACUCCUUGUAUAUCUGCAUCUCAGCCUUGCACCUCUACUCAGUAGCCACUCACACAGUCUUCUGGUAGGCCUCCCUGGCCCAGCGAAGGGCCAACCUCACCCCACUGGCCCAUAACCCCUGUGCUCUAACUCCUGUCACAGCCUGACAGCUUCCUGGACUCCUCCUGUGGCCCUCACAGGCAAGGCUGAGGGUUUUCAUGCCAGUGCCCCAGGCAGUGGGCCAUCUGCUCCUACAAUAGCCUUCUUCCUGGUCCAUUCAUUCCCUGGCUGUCUCCGCUGGAAGCCUUUCAAGGAUGAAGUAGACAGCUCUGCCUUAGGAAGAGGGGAUGGGAAAAGCUGCUGUUUCCAAGACACAGAUUCCUUCAGGCCACCCACACGCACUCUGGACACUGAUCCAGGGGAGACAGGAGCUCUGGCUGCCAGAGUCCCACAGAAGACCCUGCUUUGUAGACAUCCUUUGGCCAUCCUUGGGGAUUGAAAGCUGAUGCUUUAUAAGCAAACCCUGCUCUCCCACUCCACCAGCUCUUACCCUGGGCAUAUCCUUUACUUCUUCUACCCUUGGUUAGCUUAUCUUUAAAAUGAGGAUAAAUAACAAGCAACUGCUGUGGUAAGGGAGGAUAAAUAGGUAGACUGAGUGGAUUGAUGAUACGUAGAAAAUAAUUUAUACAUAGCAAUCAUUAACAGUGGCCGCUAUUAAUAUUUAUAAUAGUAAUAAUGGAUCACAAAAUAUGAAUUGACUUGUACCACACUUUUUUAAGGUAAAGCAUGUUCUAACUAGGAAAAUACAAAGAAAAAAAUAAAUAAACCACACUCAGUCCUGCCCCAAGUUCACCUUACUGGGCCGGUGCUUCCUCUUUGUGGAAGGGCUGACUUUUCCCCAUCAUUUUAACAACCUCUUCUCCCUUAAAAACAGUUGAACUUCACAUCAUAUGCAUUUCCAUGUCUUCAGAGAAAGUCUUAUAAGC
rnacentral:lncRNA from 1 species